rnacentral:rRNA from 2 species
GCAUAUCAAUAAGCGGAGGAAAAGAAACCAACAGGGAUUGCCUCAGUAACGGCGAGUGAAGCGGCAACAGCUCAAAUUUGAAAUCUGGCCUCGGCCCGAGUUGUAAUUUGUAGAGGAAGCUUUUGGUGCGGCACCGACCGAGUCCCCUGGAACGGGGCGCCAUAGAGGGUGAUAGCCCCGUAUGGUUGGACGCCUAUCCUCUGUAAAGCUCCUUCGACGAGUCGAGUAGUUUGGGAAUGCUGCUCUAAAUGGGAGGUAGAUUCCUUCUAAAGCUAAAUACCGGCCAGAGACCGAUAGCGCACAAGUAGAGUGAUCGAAAGAUGAAAAGCACUUUGAAAAGAGGGUUAAAUAGCACGUGAAAUUGUUGAAAGGGAAGCGCCUGUGACCAGACUUGCGCCCCGUCGAUCAUCCGGGGUUCUCCCCGGUGCGCUCGGCGGGGCUCAGGCCAGCAUCGGUUCUCGCGGGGGGACAAAGGCUCCGGGAACGUAGCUCCUCCGGGAGUGUUAUAGCCCGGGGCGUAAUGCCCUCGCGGGGACCGAGGACCGCGCUUCGGCAAGGAUG